rnacentral:rRNA from 1 species
CAGGGAUUGCCCUAGUAACGGCGAGUGAAGCGGCAACAGCUCAAAUUUGAAAUCUGGCUCUUUCAGAGUCCGAGUUGUAAUUUGCAGAGGGCGCUUUGGCUUUGGCAGCGGUCCAAGUUCCUUGGAACAGGACGUCACAGAGGGUGAGAAUCCCGUACGUGGUCGCUAGCUAUUGCCGUGUAAAGCCCCUUCGACGAGUCGAGUUGUUUGGGAAUGCAGCUCUAAAUGGGAGGUAAAUUUCUUCUAAAGCUAAAUAUUGGCCAGAGACCGAUAGCGCACAAGUAGAGUGAUCGAAAGAUGAAAAGCACUUUGGAAAGAGAGUCAAACAGCACGUGAAAUUGUUGAAAGGGAAGCGCUUGCAGCCAGACUUGCUUGCAGUUGCUCAUCCGGGCUUUUGCCCGGUGCACUCUUCUGUAGGCAGGCCAGCAUCAGUUUGGGCGGUGGGAUAAAGGUCUCUGUCACGUACCUCUCUUCGGGGAGGCCUUAUAGGGGAGACGACAUACCACCAGCCUAGACUGAGGUCCGCGCAUCUGCUAGGAUGCUGGCGUAAUGGCUGUAAGCGGCCCGUCUUGAAACACGGACCAAGGAGUCUAACAUCUAUGCGAGUGUUUGGGUGUCAAGCCCGAGCGCGUAAUGAAAGUGAACGGAGGUGGGAACCCGCAAGGGUGCACCAUCGACCGAUCCUGAAGUUUACGGAAGGAUUUGAGUAAGAGCAUGGCUGUUGGGACCCGAAAGAUGGUGAACUAUGCUUGAAUAGGGUGAAGCCAGAGGAAACUCUGGUGGAGGCUCGCAGCGGUUCUGACGUGCAAAUCGAUCGUCAAAUUUGGGCAUAGGGGCGAAAGACUAAUC